AGAGUUUGAUCAUGGCUCAGGAUGAACGCUAGCGGCAGGCCUAAUACAUGCAAGUCGAACGCGAUUAAGGGGCUUGCUCCUUAUGAAAGUGGCGCACGGGUGCGUAACGCGUAUGCAACCUACCUUAAUCAGGGGGAUAGCCUCUCGAAAGAGAGAUUAACACCGCAUAAAAUCACAUUACGGCAUCGUAACAUGAUCAA
rnacentral:rRNA from 1 species